GUUCUCCUCCUCAUCCGCAGCCCCCUCUAUCAUCAUCUCCCACAAAUCGCAGCCACCGACCAACUCCUAACUCCCAUACCUCGGCGCCGGACCUCCCCUUCCCCUCCUCUUACCUCGCAGCUUCGGCAGCUGCCAGAUCUGCCGAAUCCCCCACCGAUCCAUCCCUAUAGCAGCACAUCUCUCCCUCUCUCGUGUGACCCCUCGUGCCGCGGCCAACGCCGGCCAAUUUCGCCAACGUCCACCACUGCGCAGCAGACACACGAACUGCUCUCCGACCCCUCCGUCCGCCAAGAUGGUUGGAUCCGCCGCUCCCGGUCACCGGCGCUCGCCCUGCAACACCUCGCCUGUGGCUGGGGUUACAGCCAUGGCGUCGCGUACAUCACGGGCGUGUCUCCGGUGGCGACUCUCCGUCGGAAAAAGUGCCCGCUCACGCCCUCUCCACCUCUUGGAUGGCGCUCCCUAGCUCGGCGCGCUCGCGGGCGUUGGACUGGACGCCGGCGACGCAUCCUCCUCUAUCACGUCUCCGGCGCAGCUAUGCACAUGUGGCGACCUCCUCUGCCUCGCGAAGGCGGUGGCCAACCUUCGCUGCGAGCACUGCAUCGCCUACAAACCGAGCAGAACAUGGGUGUUCUGGAGCAGAUGCUACUUGGUAGAAUAAGCAUAGGCGCCAUGAAAGGGGAUGAAUAAGAGUUCUUGCACAUAACAUGUUUGAUGAAAUACAGGCACCACAAAUUGAACUCAUCUCCAAGCUAUGCUUUAUGAGAGGCUACAGAUUGUUACAUUAUUUUGUCAAGUCCAUGAGGCAAGAUUCAUUCAUUUAUGAUUGUUGCAAUAACGAUUAUUGGCCAAAAGCAUGGUUGUGUGUGGUUCCUGCUGCUGUACUGUGGUAUUGGUUUUCUUCCGCCUGCCUAAUGUGGUGAUGCUUUGGUGUGCCUAUUGUUCGCAGAGAUUAACCCAUAUUUGGGAGAUGUGGUGGCCUGGGAGCAAGGAAUUUUACGUGUGAUAGAAACAGAACAAGAUGAAGGAGCUUAAGUAUAGCCACAUCAGGGCGACCUGGGAGCAAGGAAGUUUACGUGUGAUAGGAGAUGAUCGCCAUAAUCUGGGUGCUAAAGGCCUUUGGAAACAGAACAAGAUGACGGAGCUUAAGUACAGCCACAUCAGGGCGACCUGGGUGCAAGGAAUUUUACAUGUGAUAGGAGAUGAUCGCCAUAAUCUGAGUGCCAAAGGCCUAGGGGAUUAUAACAUGGUUUUUUUAUAGAAAGGAUGCUCAUGCCGUAGCUUACAGUACCAGGCAACAAUCUUCUGUUGAUUACAGUGCCAAAAACUCCAGCAGGCCGCGAGACUCCUACGCCGCUGGUGCCUGUCAACGUCGCUGCCGAUGCCCUGCAUCCGAUUGGCUGCCAAGGAAUCCACCAACCCGUCCCAAUACAGGUCUAUAUCCCACAUCAUGAGCUCCUCGAAGGUGAGCAGCUGGCCCAGCCUCGCCAUGUAGCACACAGUCUUGGUAGUGGAGAUGUUGUCAUUGUCAUAGCGGUCGAAGGUGUGGAGCAUAGGGCGUGAGCACCAACAUGAUGGUGUGCGCCAGCUCGUCGAACUCGGAGGCCCGCUGACAUUUGCAUCGAUGGCCAGCAGCAGAAGGACUCCUCACCCAGCGGUUGCAAGCUUAGGGGGUGGAGCGGGGCAUCGAGCUUGAGGUCUGCUGGCUCUUGUCAUGCCAUCACUGACUUAGACCAGAAGAGUUCUGUCAUGUUCGGUGUCACGCCCUCCAUAGCCUGCGAUGGUGAUCACGAUGCCCCUGCAGAACGACGCGCCGACGCCUGUCGCUGCCCUGCAUCCUGCUCCGUGUUGUCACCAGUGCUGCCACCCUACUCUGCGUUGUGCCCUCGAUAGGCGCCAUCCUUGGACGCCAUCUCUUCCAACCUCUUCUUCCCUUCCGGAUUGAUACCAGCCCCUACCUUAAAAAAUGAUCCGUGUUGUUGGCACCAUUCCAAACUGAAAUCAAUUACAUACGCAAGGCAGUUCUAGAUGUCUGCAAGUUUGUGAUCUGCAAAUAUUAUAGUCAAAAGGAUUUCAAUUGUGAUAGGCCGUAGCUUCACUUUACAUCCUCAGGCUCUGUAGCUGGAUCAGGUGAAUCUGUUUUGUCGUGUGAAUACCAGUAAAGUGAAACAGAAGCAGCACACAGGCGCGUCUUCUUGCUUUUUUUACUUGCCAUAGCUGGAUCAGUAGCUUGAACGCACAACAAUCUAGCCUAUUCUUGUCCCCCAUGACAUCUCUUCUUAAUUUGGUAGAUCAUGUUUUUGCAAGAUGACAACACCAUAUGUGUAGCUGGAUCAUUAGCUUGAACGCAAAGCAAUCUAGCCUAUUCUUUUCCCCCAUGAUAUCUCUUCUUAAUUUGGUAGAUCAUGUUUUUGCAAGAUGACAGCACCAUAUGUGUAGUUGCUGACUGUGUUUAUAUCGCAAAAAUAUUAUGGUUUCAAGCA